ACGAGAAUAAGACGCCAGAAAGAAUCCAAACUCGUUAAGAGAAAGGCUCUAACAGUUCUUGAACCUUGUUAAAGCAAGGGCCUUGUGCAGCCCAACCUCGCCACGCCUCCUGCAGCUCUGAAGGCUCGGUGACCUCGGCGCUGUCUCACCUGCUCCGUAGCCUGCAGCGUUUCCAGCGCUCAGCCAUGCUCCUGCUGCUCAUCCCAGUGCUUGAGAUGGGUUUUGCCCUGAGAGGAGCUGGAGCGCAGUCAGUGACCCAGCCUGAGGACCACGUCUCUGUCUUUGCAAGGGCCCCUGUGCAGGUGAAGUGCAAUUACUCAUAUUCCGGGAGUCCUUUGCUUUUCUGGUAUGUCCAGUACCCCAAACGAAGCCUCCAAUUACUCCUGAAACACACUUCAAAAGAGAGCCUCAAAGGUUUCACGGCUGACCUCAACAGGCGUGAGGCAUCCUUCCAUCUGAAGAAACCAUCAGCUCAGGAGGAAGACUCAGCCAUGUACUACUGUGCUCUGAGUGACACAGUAACUGGUUUUACAAAGGAAGCCGAACACAAACCCCUUGUGAUUCAGAGGAAAUAUUUCUAAGUUCCCUCUUUGGCCACACGGGGGCGCUCCUUCCCUAGAGACUGACGCUAAGUUUGCCUCUCAGGGACAACACCAUCAGGUGCCAAAGUUGGCUGUAGAUUAACCUCAAAAAUUUGUUCAAGGAAAUUGUCAUUACCGACUCUGCCCAAAUUAAUUUUUUAAAUAGUAAGUAUAUUUAUUCUAUAUAUUACUACCGGGAAAAAUACUUUUGAAAUAAAACUAUAAAACAGCAUAACAUUUUUUUUCUUGUCCCCGAGAAACCCCCCAGUUUGAGUGGCGCAGUCCCACGUCUCCGGCUCGUCUCC